GUGGCCUGAGUUUUUGGUUCAAUUCCCUGAACGAGGCAACUUCAGCCUCAAUUCAUCUUUUUUUAAGAAAUUUGAUUACAGCAAAUUAACGGUGAGGUUAAUAGCUUUUGUACCCGGAUAUCAUUCAGGUUCAAAUAUAAAGAAAUGGGGACACAUGAAGAUCCGUUCAGUUCUACAGGAUUGUGUUUUUGAUAAAGAAAUGGGGACACAUGAAGAUCCGUUCAGUUCUACAGGUUCAAAUAUAUAUCAGGCGGAUGUUGAAACGGACGAGGUGUAUGCCCAAAUGACGUUGCAGCCGUUGACCCCUCAAGAACAAAAGGAUACAUUUCUUCCGGUUGAGCUGGGAACUCUAAGCAGAUAGCCAACUAACUACUUUUGCAAGACGUUAACCGCCAGUGAUACGAGUACUCACGGAGGAUUCUCUGUUCCUCAACGGGCAGCUGAAAAAGUUUCCCUCCACUGGAUUUUACGCAGCAGCCACCCGCACAGGAACUUAUUGCACGGGCCUACGUGACUUCGAAUGGAAGUUCAGACAUAUUUUUCGCGG